rnacentral:rRNA from 1 species
UGGGGAAUCUUCCGCAAUGGACGAAAGUCUGACGGAGCAACGCCGCGUGAGUGAUGAAGGUCUUCGGAUUGUAAAACUCUGUUGUUAGGGACGAAAGCACCGUGUUCGAACAGGUCAUGGUGUUGACGGUACCUAACGAGGAAGCCACGGCUAACUACGUGCCAGCAGCCGCGGUAAUACGUAGGUGGCAAGCGUUGUCCGGAAUUAUUGGGCGUAAAGAGCAUGUAGGCGGGCUUUUAAGUCUGACGUGAAAAUGCGGGGCUUAACCCCGUAUGGCGUUGGAUACUGGAAGUCUUGAGUGCAGGAGAGGAAAGGGGAAUUCCCAGUGUAGCGGUGAAAUGCGUAGAUAUUGGGAGGAACACCAGUGGCGAAGGCGCCUUUCUGGACUGUGUCUGACGCUGAGAUGCGAAAGCCAGGGUAGCAAACGGG